rnacentral:rRNA from 1 species
UACGGAGGGGGCUAGCGUUGUUCGGAAUUACUGGGCGUAAAGCGUACGUAGGCGGCUUUGUAAGUUAGAGGUGAAAGCCUGAUGCUCAACAUCAGAAUUGCCUUUAAGACUGCAUCGCUUGAAUCGUGGAGAGGUAAGUGGAAUUCCGAGUGUAGAGGUGAAAUUCGUAGAUAUUCGGAAGAACACCAGUGGCGAAGGCGGCGCACUGGACUGUUAUUGACGCUGAGGUGCGAAAGCGUGGGGAGCAAACAGG